GAAGGUAUGAUCCAUGGAUCAGGAAACCAGCCUUCCCUAGACAUGGAAUCUGCUGGCACCUUGAUUUUGAACUUCCCAGACUCCAGAACGACUCCUGCCCCUGCCACGAGAACACACCCUUUCCAGUUUGCUGGAGAAAUAUAAGAGAAGUCCAGUGAAAGAGAGCUGAGUUUCCCCAAUGAUGCCAUCAAGAUGAACUAACUACAGUUAACCAGCCAGCUGAUAGCAGAUGCAUGAGUGAGCCCAGCUGAGAGCAGGUUGUGCAAGCAUGGCACGUGCAUCUGUUUGGCUUGUGGUGAGGCCUCAGGAAGCUUACAGUCAUGGUGGAAGGCAAAGAGGGAGCCAGUACAUCACGUGAACUCGUAGAGUGAGAACUCAUUCACUACCAUGAAGACAACACCAAGCCAUUCCUGAGGUAUCAGCUCCCAUGACCUGAACAUCUCCCACUAGGCCCACCUCCAACACUGGGGGUCAAACUUCAACAUGAAAUUUGGAGGGGACAAACAUCCACGUCAUAUCAGAUAUCAUUAUUUAACCUACCAUAUCCUUGGAAUUAGGGGUUGAUGUGUUACUGCAGCAUAGUUUAAUGUAUGCUGAGGAAUAUGGAAGCCAUAGUAAGUUAAUACUAAAAUCUCACUGGACAUUAACUAUAGAAGUAUGCCCAAGGUAACUAUUUAGUAGACAUAAUCAGCCUCAACUUUUUGUUGUCUUCAUGAGGUGCCUACAAUAGUUCCUGGUAUGUAGAAGGUAUACAAUAAAUAUUGGCGGAGUGAAGGAACAAAUGGGAUUUGCUUGAUUCUGCUGCAGAAGACUAAGAAAAAGACAUAAAUGAAUAAAUAACUAGUAGAAUGUUAACACAAUCAGAAAAAGGACCAUUUCUUUUCAUUUGGAUGUCUCAAAUCUAUUUGUUGUUUUUGUUGUUGUUGUUUUUCUGGCUGGGCUUGAAAUGUAGGCAUGCAGCCAGGAGGCUCCAUGCUGACUAAUGAGAUAGAGGUACCCAUUUAGCCCAGCAAUAUUCAUACAUUGUAUAUGCAUUCAUUUUUCUCUAGUGACUUUUUAAUAUAUUUUGGUGAAGAUAUUCCCAAGAUAAUGAAGAUAUGUUGAGUGGGCAUUAAAAGUGAUGAGUCUUUUUUUCCAUUAUCAAAGACAAAUACAGGUGUGUGAUGUAUGCAGAGAAUUAGAAGUAGGGAAAAAAAUGAGGGAAUCCAAAAUAAUGAAAAGAAAUUAAAGCUCUCCAAUAAUCGAAAGAAAGGCCAAACUGAAAACAUAAAUCUCCAGACUCUGCAAGGAUUUAUACUGAUGUGGGGCAUGUGGACCAAUGGCUUUCAGGAUGUGAUUCAUUUUGAAAAAAGUGUCAUUGGUGAAACUGAAAUUGGCUGUAUCAUCUGAAACUUCAUCUGUGAAGUCCCUGGUGGUUUCCUAGAUGACUACACAGUUGAGUUGCCUCUGAUUGGAAAAGCAGUGUUUUGGUUUUUCAGUUUGUACAAGAGGAAGAAGACGCAUGAUAUGUGUUUGGCUCAUGUGCCUGAAUAUGGCUCCACAGGGAAGACUUGAUACAGCUGAAGCUAUUGCUUUUUAGAGACUUUUUAUUUUGAGCAGCUGCCUUAACAGCCUUCGUCUUGUUACAUCACAUGAGAUAUAUCUCUGGAAUAGGAAGAGAAAAAAGACAUGACUGAGCAAUAAUUUUUGACUAAAACUUAAAAUUACAAAACCAAAACCAGAGAUAGAUGUCCCUGAAGUUGUAUUUUUAUAGUAUGUGAGAACACAAUUUUCUUAUCCUAGUUUUAAGGCAUUCCUCUGGACCCAGGAUUUUUGUUUAGUUUCAUUCACAUAAUCAAACUCUUUUUUUUUUUUUUGCCAUAGACUAAUGCAUUUUGGUGUAAUGAUCUGAGCCCUUAUCCAGAAGGCAUCUAAGACUCAUGUACAAAAAUAGAUUUCAGGGCUAAACAUUCUAAAAGACAAUUGAGUGCUUCUUUUUUCUCCGGCCCCUAGAUGUAAAUGAAUAACCUCUGUUCACUAACUCUUAAUGUAAUAUAAGGGAUAAAUUAUGCUUGUUUAUUUAAUUGUGCUUAACCAGAGUACUAGGUUGGAGUCAAACCACAGAUAUAUUUGUGAGAUGUGACAAAAUGUAGCUUUUAGCCCGUAAUACCCAAGUCAUCUGGGAACAUAACUGAUGACAGUGUCAACACCUUUCAGGAAUUCUGGAGGUGCCUUUGAGUUUAGAAAUUCGUAGGUUCUCUAGAAGCAACAGUAGCAUACUAAAUUAACACAUAACAUUUCAAGCUACAUUUACAUAAUUGCAGUGGUUAUGAUUAAUACAAAUUAUAUUAACUGCCUGUUUUACUCCUUAUAGCUGAUUGGCUGAAUUUACCAGUGGGUUUGGUAUGUUCAACAAAUGAUCCAAAUUACCUUUUCAUUUCAGUUAAGAAACUAAUCAAAGCAAAUACACUUUGAUUUGUUGAGAGGCAGAGAUUCUCCCUAAGUGGCAAUGUCCUUGGCCUUCUAAGCUAAAACCUAAAUGGAACUAUAAUAUAUAUUUUGAUGCUUUAUCUCACUUGAGUUUUUUAUUCUUUAACUGAAGGGCAGCCAUGGACCAUAAAUACAUAGAAGAUAAAAAUAUAUUGAGCUUAGGAGUUUGGUCUGUUCAAUGGAUGAGAACUUUAUAUUUUCCCUUAUAAACACAAUUUUCAAAGAAUAGCCUGUAAUAGUCGUGAAAAUGGAAACCAAUACUGGGGAAAUGUGGACUGCAACUCUGAAAAGGUAUCAAAAUGCCCGAUAGUUCAACACAAGGGCUAAGCAAUAUUUCAGGGAUGUGGCCUGUCUUUGGUGGCUCGGUCACUCUAGUGAGAUGAAUUUGGAAAAGGAUAGGCAUACAGAAUCCCCCCUCUGGCAGGGUUUGCCUUUGGGG
rnacentral:lncRNA from 10 species